UCUCCUGGCAGAUAAAUAGGGCAACCUCCUUUUGUGGGGGGAUGAAUAAAAAAAGUUGUCUUAAGGGGAGCAGAGGAUGGUUGAUUGGUUUUUGUCUUUGGUUGGUUUUACUCAAGCUAGUGCUAUUAUGGUUUGUAGUACCACUUCCAGGCCCUAGAUGCUGUUUGUGCUGGAUACUGUGUUAACAAGUGCAUAACAAACCUGAGCAAUCUCACUGCUCUGACCUGUGGAAGGAUUUCUGAUGGAAGGCAACAGAGUUUCGCUCCAGGUAUAGCAGUAUGUUUUUGUGGACAGUUUGGAAUUGGGGACAGAAUGAAGGCACUUAUUCUUCCUGAAAAAUUGCACCUGUCCUUGGCAUGACUAAACACAGGAUGGAAUCCUGACUCAAAUUGUUCCUGCUAAUACCUCUGUGAGUGCUGGGUGCUGAGUGAGGAAUAGGAAAGGCUUCUCUCUUGGGUAAAGUGAAAUGCCCUGGCUUAGGCACCCAAAAGAUUCAGUUUGGGGUGGUAGAGGGGAGGGAGGGUGGGGGGAGCAAGGACCUCACACAAGAACUGACCUAAACUCUGAGGAGGAGUGUCCAGCUCCUGGUGCUGUGGGACUGCAGAGUUCCUGAGGAGCUGGUGCUCAGCUUGGGUCUGCAUGUUCAGACUGAUCUGACCGAGUCUGGCAUUAUUGAUGGCUGAAGUUUUGCCUUCAAUCUUGCACGAUUUGAGUAGAAGGUGUCAGAAAUCUUGCAGGACUAAGUUUCUCCCUCAUGGAUGGUUCUGUCAGCUUGGAAUGGCAUUUUUCAAGAGGAGAUUCUGGUUUGUUCAUGCCACAAUCAGAUCUGUGUUUCUUCUGAAUCAAUGUCUGGAUAAAUUAAAACCAAAGCAUGUUACCUGAUUCAGAGGAUUUAAAUCCAGACUGUUCAUCCCCUACUUUUCAAGAAGUUCAGAUCUGAGGGUUGGAUUUCAGGAAAUUUUCAUUUAGGGAGCGACUAGAGUUGCAAAAGCCCUAGAAUCCCGAGUUCUUUGUUCACCAGCCAUGCACAGUGCAGACAACAGCAAUAGCAGCAAUUCACUUCCCCAGAAUUGCAAACAAGCUUAACCCUGAGCUGGAAAGGCCGUUCUCUGGAGGGGUGACAGGAAAUUCAAUAUGUGAGCUGAGCGUGCUCUGACUUCCUUGGCAGACAGACUGCCAGCUGCACACAGUUCUGCUGAUGAUGUGAUGAGCACCCAUCCUUCACUGAGGCCUCCAUCAGCCAG